rnacentral:rRNA from 1 species
GAUGAACGUUGGCGGCGUGCCUAAUACAUGCAAGUCGAACGAAGACUGUAGUAAUACUGUCUUAGUGGCGAACGGGUGAGUAACGCGUGGGUGACCUGCCCCGAAGUGUGGGAUAACAGUCCGAAAGGAUUGCUAAUACUGCAUAAUAUCCAAGAGAUUAGAUGCUUUUGGAUUAAAGGAGUAAUUCGCUUCGGGAGGGGCCCGCGUCCCAUCAGCUAGUCGGUAAGGUAAUGGCUUACCAAGGCGAUGACGGGUAGGGGACCUGAGAGGGUGGCCCCCACAAUGGAACUGAAACACGGUCCAUACACCUACGGGUGGCAGCAGUAGGGAAUAUUAGUAAUGGGCGAAAGCCUGAACUAGCAACGCCGCGUGUGCGAAGAAGGCCUUCGGGUCGUAAAGCACUUUUUGAGAGGAUGAGGAAGGACGGUACUCUCAGAAUAAGUCUCGGCUAACUACGUG